CAUUUAAAGUCUGCUGGUGAAUGUUGGUUGGCUUUCUCUGUGCUAAACUGGACCAUUCAGUGGCGAUUAUAGUUCUUCAACAUCAUGAGAAAUUUGAGGGAAAGGCGAACCUUCCAAAAGUCUCUCAAUGCAGCAGGAAGUGCGUCUGGCAGAAAAAGGAAGGGGAAAAAAAGCCCUCAAGGUCCAUUCUCUUCUCAUAAGACAGAAUGGGGCAUGUACUGGAAAGCCCUAUGGAAAUAAAGCCAAAAGGAAAAAGACAGAUGCCACACUGAUGUCUUCGCUUGUGUUGUUUGUAUGACACAAUUGGCAUGUGGCCCAUUCCUUCGCAGGUUAAUAAAUCAUUAACAGAACGUGGCGUUAGACCGGGCAGUGCUCAGAGACUCCUAGACAAAUAUGACAUCAUUCCUGACUUUAGGAAACUCUGAGAUUAGUGGGAAGACCAGCAAUAAGCUGAUGCCGAGGGAAUAACUUCCCAAGUGGGGAGACAGAUCUGAAGCACUGUGAAGGCACCAAGGGCCACCAUCUCCACCUGGGAAGGGCCCGGGAAGCAGACAAUCCAGCAGGGAGCCAGCUAGCCUGGGUAUGCAGCAGGCACAGGCCUGUCUUCAAGGGUGCCACGUUGAGGGAAUUGGAAAUAUUAAUAGUUCAGAAUGGCCAGAGGAAUGGUUCUUUCAGGGCACUAAGUGGCAGGUUCAUUCAUUCGUCCAUUCUAGUUAUUCAUGGAGAACCCAUCAUGCUUUACAAAAUGUGAGGCCGACAUUUAUGGAGGCCUGGCUAGAAAAGCAGGAGAGACCGGGAGGGCCUCAGGUGCCGACCGCAGCACAGGCCUUAUCCGGAAGGCCAUGGAGGGCCAGGAAGGCUCUCACCAGGACAUGGACAUGAUCAGACGUGUGUGUCGGCCAUCGUGUGCGAGACAUUCUGGGGACCCCAGCCUGGGGGCACUGGGGCUGGGCAGUGACAGUGACAGGGACUGGGAACCUGGGAGCUUCUCAGCAUCUCCUUCUCACACUCUGCCUCUGAGCAGCUGGGAAUCCUUACCCCUCCAAUCUCCUGACUGCUCAUCUCCCUGGAGCCAGGACCCUGAAUCAGUAUUCACGGCCUGUUAG
ensembl:lincRNA